rnacentral:rRNA from 1 species
CCUACGGGAGGGCAGCAGUGGGGAAUAUUGGACAAUGGGCGAAAGCCUGAUCCAGCAAUGCCGCGUGAGUGAUGAAGGCCUUCGGGUCGUAAAGCUCUUUUACCAGGGAUGAUAAUGACAGUACCUGGAGAAUAAGCUCCGGCUAACUCCGUGCCAGCAGCCGCGGUAAUACGGAGGGAGCUAGCGUUGUUCGGAAUUACUGGGCGUAAAGAGUACGUAGGCGGUUAUUCAAGUCAGAGGUGAAAGCCCGGGGCUCAACCCCGGAACUGCCUUUGAAACUAGAUAGCUAGAGUCUUGGAGAGGUUAGUGGAAUUCCGAGUGUAGAGGUGAAAUUCGUAGAUAUUCGGAAGAACACCAGUGGCGAAGGCGACUAACUGGACAAGUACUGACGCUGAGGUACGAAAGCGUGGGGAGCAAACAGGAUUAGAUACCCUGGUAGUCCACGCCGUAAACGAUGAUAACUAGUUGUUCGGUCACUUGGUGACUGAGUGACGCAGCUAACGCAUUAAGUUAUCCGCCUUGGGGGAGGUACGGUCGCGAGAUAAACUACAAUAGAAUAGACGCGNGAGAGNGCGACGACGACGACGAGGAGAG